rnacentral:tRNA from 1 species
GACUUAAAAUCCGUCGACUUUUGAAAUCGUGAGG